GACUUUCAACACUCUUUUUAUGUUGAUCCGGAAGGAUUAUCUAGGGGUCUUACAUUAUGGUGGAAGGAUUGUAUUUCGGUUUAAGUUUUGCAAGAGUCGAAGAGGUGGAUUGAUGUUUUCACUUCCCAACUUACCCCCUAACACGCAACCUUUGUGUAUGGUCAUCUAGAUGUCCGAGGACGUGUUGCAUUCCUUGAUAGUCUCAAGCAUCUUGAUAUACA
rnacentral:misc_RNA from 1 species